rnacentral:misc_RNA from 1 species
GAAGUGCGAUAUCUAGUGUGAAUUGCAGAACGCCGUGAAUCAUCAAACUUUUGAACGCAGUGCGCCUGUUAGCUCUAGUUAACAGGCACGCCUGUUUGAGUGUCGGCAUUUAAUAUCUUCAAUUAUAACUUUAUAGUAAAAAUUGAAGGAAUUGAGAGUAUAACGCAAAGUUAUUCUCUUUAAAUUAAUUAGCAUUUCGGCAUUUAGCUAUUCAAAGUCAAUUAGCGUAGUCUUGGUCACUGCAAAUUUUCUGACUUUGAAUUUGCUAACUUUCGAGAGACUAUACGGCAUUUUAUUAUCAACUUCGACCUCAAAUCAGGCGAGAAAACCCGCUGGAUUUAA